GAGGAGGUGUUUGGAGGACUCACUGUGGUGAAUGUUAAUUUGUGUUUGUUGUUGUUCAUUAUUGUAUUAUUGUAUGUAUGACUGCAGGCACGAAAUUCCGUUCAGACUGUAAGGUCUGAAUGACAAUAAAGGUAAUUCUAUUCUAUUCUAUUCUAUUCUAUUCUAUGCUGAAUAUCUGUGUUUUAAUACAGCUACAACAGGAUCUACUACUGCAACUACUCCUCCUGAUACAACGUUAACAUCAGUUCCAUCAUCAUCGACGAGCACAACAGAAACAUCCACCCAGAGCUCCACCACACCACAAACAAGUGAAACAACAACUGAUGUCAGUUCCACAACAUCAGAACUGACUCCAACAGGAUCUACUACUGCAACUACUCCUCCUGAUACAACGUUAACAUCAGUUCCAUCAUCUUCGACGAGCACUACAGAAACAUCCACCCAGAGUUCCACUCCACUACAAACAGCUACAACAGGAUCUUCUACUGCAACUACUCCUCCUGAUACAACGUUAACAUCAGUUCCAUCUACAUCGACGAGCACAACAGAAACAUCCACCCAGAGCUCCACCUCACCACAAACAAGUGAAACAACAACUGAUGUCAGUUCCACAACAUCAGAACUGAGUAUGUAAAGAUUUGUCCAUUACCAAUGUGCAUGUUAUCCAUCAGUGUCCGCGAAACAAGUUCAUCUGAUCAAUUGUACCAAUGAUAUAAUCCGUCCUGUUUCAAGCACACCUGCAUAAUAACACUUAACCCAUUACUAUUGAAUGGUGUGUUGAUAAUAGAUUUCUGUGAUACAUCUCUCUUGCUUAUAUAUCUUGAGUGAUUUAGACGUAAAUCAAUUGAUUUCAUGUCAUAUUCCAUGCUGUUAUUCUUUGAAAAAAUGGCUCUGGACUUUGAUUGUUUUUUAAAAGCUUCCCAUUUCUUUAUCUUGACUGUACCUUGACUGGUUAAAAUUCUCUCUCAUUGGGACCCGUAAUACUGACACUCUUGCUUGAACCACACUAUGUAUCUCAUCCCUGUAUUAUGUAAAUGAUAAAGAACUUAAGCAAUUAAUUUAAUGUUAAGUUCGAUGCUUUAACAUCAGUUCCAUCCACAACUGCAACACCAUUCACUUCAGAGACAAUAAGCACAACAGAAACAACAACCACCCAGAGC